UACCCUGGCACAUCGGUCACUGCAGGACU
rnacentral:piRNA from 1 species